AACGAACGCUGGCGGCAGGCCUAAUACAUGCAAGUCGAACGGAUGUAGCAAUACAUUAGUGGCGCACGGGUGCCUAACGCGUGGGAACAUACCCUUGAGUAAGGAAUAAUGUCUGGGAACGGACACUAAUACCUUAUAAUGACUUCGGUCCAAAGAUUUAUCGCUCAAGGAUUGGCCCGCGUCUGAUUAGCUAGUUGGUGAGGUAACGGCUCACCAAGGCGACGAUCAGGAGCUGGUCUGAGAGGAUGAUCAGCCACACUGGGACUGAGACACGGCCCAGACUCCUACGGGAGGCAGCAGUAAGGAAUAUUGGACAAUGGGGGAAACCUUGAUCCAGCCAUGCCGCGUGAGUGAAGAAGGCCUUAGGGUUGUAAAGCUCUUUCAAUAGUGAAGAUAAUGACGGUAGCUAUAGAAGAAGCCCCGGCUAAAUUCGUGCCAGCAGCAGCCGCGG
rnacentral:rRNA from 1 species